UUAGAGUUUGAUCAUGGCUCAGAACGAACGCUGGCGGCGCGCCUAAUACAUGCAAGUCGAGCGAGAAGACGUAGCAAUACGUUUGUAAAGCGGCGAACGGGUGAGGAAUACAUGGGUAACCUACCCUCGAGUGGGGAAUAACUAGCCGAAAGGUUAGCUUAUACCGCAUACGACUCCUGGUCUGCGGAUCAGGAGAGAAAGCGAUACCGUGGGUAUCGCGCUCUUGGAUGGGCUCAUGUCCUAUCAGCUUGUUGGUGAGGUAACGGCUCACCAAGGCUUCGACGGGUAGCUGGUCUGAGAGGACGAUCAGCCACACUGGCACUGCGACACGGGCCAGACUCCUACGGGAGGCAGCAGUAAGGAAUAUUGCGCAAUGGGCGACAGCCUGACGCAGCGACGCCGCGUGGGGGAUGAAGGUCUUCGGAUUGUAAACCCCUUUCGGCAGGGAAGAUGGAACGGGUAACCGUUCGGACGGUACCUGCAGAAGCAGCCACGGCUAACUUCGUGCCAGCAGCCGCGGUAAUACGAAGGUGGCAAGCGUUGUUCGGAUUUACUGGGCGUACAGGGAGCGUAGGCGGUUGGGUAAGCCCUUCGUGAAAUCUCCGGGCCUAACCCGGAAAGGGCGGAGGGGACUGCUCGGCUAGAGGAUGGGAGAGGAGCGCGGAAUUCCCGGUGUAGCGGUGAAAUGCGUAGAGAUCGGGAGGAAGGCCGGUGGCGAAGGCGGCGCUCUGGAACAUUUCUGACGCUGAGGCUCGAAAGCGUGGGGAGCAAACAGGAUUAGAUACCCUGGUAGUCCACGCCUUAAACGAUGGAUACUAAGUGUCGGCGGGUUACCGCCGGUGCCGCAGCUUAC
rnacentral:rRNA from 1 species